rnacentral:rRNA from 1 species
AUCGUAACAAGGUUUCCGUAGGUGAACCUGCGGAAGGAUCAUUGUCGAAUCCUGCAUAGCAGAACCACCAGCGAACAAGUUCACAACCACAAGGCCAGGUCGAGUGUGGGGCAACGCCUCGCUCCCGAUUCAUGCCUAACGGCACCCUGGCAUUCUGCCUUCGUGCCAAACAAACCCCCGGCGCGAGAAGCGCCAAGGAAUACUCUAACAAGGGUCUGACCAAUCCUCUCCCGUACGCGGGGCUUGGGGAUUGGAGAUGGCUUCUUACCAAACCACAACGACUCUCGGCAACGGAUAUCUCGGCUCUCGCAUCGAUGAAGAACGUAGCGAAAUGCGAUACUUGGUGUGAAUUGCAGAAUCCCGUGAACCAUCGAGUCUUUGAACGCAAGUUGCGCCUGAAGCCAUUAGGCUAAGGGCACGUCUGCCUGGGCGUCACGCAUCGCGUCGCCCCUCCCCAGAUUCUGGUGGAUGGGGUGGAUUGUGACCUCCUGUGCCUAAUAGGGUGCAGCUGGUCGAAAUAUGAGUCCAGAGCUUAGGACGUCACGACAAGUGGUGGUUGGAUAACAACUCGCGUCAUGUUGUGCGCCGAAUCCUCAUGCGACUGUCAAGACCCUAAGGCACAUGUUACCCUCCCUAGGUGUGGGAACCUAGUGCUACGACCGCGACCCCAGGUCAGGCGGGACUACCCGGCUGAAUUUAAGCAUAUCAA